rnacentral:rRNA from 1 species
AGUGAACGCUGGCGGCAGGCCUAACACAUGCAAGUCGAACGGCAGCACAGCAGUAGCAAUACUGUGGGUGGCGAGUGGCGGACGGGUGAGGAAUGCGUCGGAAUCUGCCCUUUUGUGGGGGAUAACGUAGGGAAACUUACGCUAAUACCGCAUACGACCUACGGGUGAAAGUGGGGGACCGCAAGGCCUCACGCAGAAAGAUGAGCCGACGCCGGAUUAGCUAGUUGGCGGGGUAAAGGCCCACCAAGGCGACGAUCCGUAGCUGGUCUGAGAGGAUGAUCAGCCACACUGGGACUGAGACACGGCCCAGACUCCUACGGGAGGCAGCAGUGGGGAAUAUUGGACAAUGGGCGCAAGCCUGAUCCAGCCAUGCCGCGUGUGUGAAGAAGGCCUUCGGGUUGUAAAGCACUUUUGUCCGGAAAGAAAAGCUUCGGGUUAAUAACCUGGAGUCAUGACGGUACCGGAAGAAUAAGCACCGGCUAACUUCGUGCCAGCCGCCGCCGUAAGAC